rnacentral:lncRNA from 1 species
AAACGAUCAAUCAAAACAAUAGUUAUACACACAAUUCACUGUACUAGGAAUUUAGAGAGAGAGAGAGAGAGAGAGAGAGAGACAGCGAAACCAAGAAAAGUUCACACACAAUAUUGGAGUUGCACAGAUCCCAGUAUCUCUCUGUAUUUCUCAAUUUUCUCUCCAAGAACUCCUCCGAGAUAGAGGAUUUAGGAUUCCCUGUUUUUUGGGCCCCUAUACAUAGCAUUGCGUAAAGAGAAAUCUUUAUCUUUUUUCUAUUUUCAAGAAUUGUGGAUAUGCAUGUCUAUGUAUAGUAGAAUUGCAUGAAGCGGACAAUUUUUUUUUUUUUUUUUAAUCUGGUUAAAGCGGAUUUUGGGUCUUGCUACGAUAAUCAAUCAGGAUUAUCUGUUGACUUUGCCCUUUAUUAUUUUUUGUACUUUUGAAAUUUUAAGUCCAAGCUGAAUUUUACGAUUUUUGAAUAUGAGUAUGUGAUUUUUUGGGUUGUGCUUAUCUUUCACUUUUUAUUUUUGUUCGCCGUUUAGGGGUGGUUAUUUAAUGUGAUUUUUUUCUUAAUUUUAAAUUUGGUAUUCGGUGCUCAUUAACUGUAUUCCAACUUGAUUAUAUGGAAAAAGGUUGAUUAUUCAAUGAAUGGCAUUAAUGAAAAGUUGGUUUUCAUUUUCUGGUGAAAGUGAGAGUAUAUUCUUACCCAAUACUUUUUUUUAAUUAUUAUUAUUUUACAGUUACUUGCUGCGAGUUUAGUGAAAUUUGAGAUAUUUUGAGCUUUGAUUCUCUUCUAUACAAUAUUGGCGUGAAUUUUGAGUCUCUGCAUCUUUGAAGAAGUCCUUGAUUGAAAAUGAGAACUGUUAUUCAG